rnacentral:rRNA from 1 species
UGGUGGCGAUGGCGGAGGGUUCCACGCGUACCCAUCCCGAACACGACCGUUAAGCCCUCCAGCGCCGAUGGUACUUGGACCGAAGGGUCCUGGGAGAGUAGGACGCCGCCA